rnacentral:rRNA from 1 species
CUUGGAAACAGGUGCUAAUACCGUAUAACAAUCGAAACCGCAUGGUUUUGAUUUGAAAGGCGCUUUCGGGUGUCGCUGAUGGAUGGACCCGCGGUGCAUUAGCUAGUUGGUGAGGUAACGGCUCACCAAGGCCACGAUGCAUAGCCGACCUGAGAGGGUGAUCGGCCACAUUGGGACUGAGACACGGCCCAAACUCCUACGGGAGGCAGCAGUAGGGAAUCUUCGGCAAUGGACGAAAGUCUGACCGAGCAACGCCGCGUGAGUGAAGAAGGUUUUCGGAUCGUAAAACUCUGUUGUUAGAGAAGAACAAGGAUGAGAGUAACUGUUCAUCCCUUGACGGUAUCUAACCAGAAAGCCACGGCUAACUACGUGCCAGCAGCCGCGGUAAUACGUAGGUGGCAAGCGUUGUCCGGAUUUAUUGGGCGUAAAGCGAGCGCAGGCGGUUUCUUAAGUCUGAUGUGAAAGCCCCCGGCUCAACCGGGGAGGGUCAUUGGAAACUGGGAGACUUGAGUGCAGAAGAGGAGAGUGGAAUUCCAUGUGUAGCGGUGAAAUGCGUAGAUAUAUGGAGGAACACCAGUGGCGAAGGCGGCUCUCUGGUCUGUAACUGACGCUGAGGCUCGAAAGCGUGGGGAUCAAACAGGAUUAGAUACCCUGGUAGUCCACGCCGUAAACGAUGAGUGCUAAGUGUUGGAGGGUUUCCGCCCUUCAGUGCUGCAGCUAACGCAUUAAGCACUCCGCCUGGGGAGUACGACCGCAAGGUUGAAACUCAAAGGAAUUG